rnacentral:tRNA from 1 species
AAAAUAGUAAGCUAAAUUUAAGCUAUUAGGUUCAUACCCUACUUAUGGGCUCAGCCCCUAUUUUA